UUUACCUUACUUAUACUUAUUUGGCAAUUUCAAGGAUAUAUAAAACGUAUGCCGACAUGCUCUUGCUUAUUAAUAAAUAGUUACAUUGUACAGGUUUGAGGGUACAGCUCACCCACGAGCUAUAAUUUCAAAUUGCGUGAGACCAAUAAUUAUACUGGGGUACAAUUAUGUUCAGAGUACAACCGCUUACUGUCAAGUAGUUGCGUGUCGAACAAGAUACUUCCUAUUUUUGGGCCAACCGUUGAUUAGUGAUCUAUAAUUUCAGCAGGUUCUGAGUAGACAAUCAUUCUCGUUUCAUUUUUCAUUGUACACGCGUAUAAAUGAUUCUCGCGAGCUAUAACUAUUACGAUUUCUUAGGUAUAAAAAUUAAAUUGAAGGUUAAAUUAUACUUUACUUGCACUGGUUAUCUUAUUAUUUUGUGUGGCGUUUCGGGACGAAACCACCACUUGGGUAUAAAUUCGUACCCCGAAAUCGUAGAUAAUACUAAAUUUCAAUAAGAAAAAAGUUAAGAGUAUUAUACGAGGGGAACCUUUAUCUGAAAAUAAUUGGAAAUGAGUCUCUAGAUUUCAAAACGUGGAAAUCUAGUACAUGUUUUCUUUAUACCUCGUGAAAAUCACUUGUAUAUAUUACAUGUAUGGCAACCAGUAAAGGGAGUUGGUUCUUAGUGAUGUAUCAAUAUUUCUAGAAAAUUCAGACAAUUCUGUCAGUCAGAAAUUGAAUUCUAGCCCGUGACUACAAGUCUUGUUAUCGCAUCCCGGAUCUCUUGAUACUUCACGAUUUGAGAAAUCAUAUUUCUUUAGCUGAAUGAACCUAAUUUUUAACUAGAUUCAUCUACCUAGAAAUUAGUGCAAUAAAUUCCGUCAAUGGGAUUGUGAAGAAUAACAAAUUUAUAAUUUUUGGUUCGAAACACGUACUUUAGAGUAAUCUCUAUUAUUGCUUAGGGCUUUUCGAUUCCAAUAAUGUAUCUUCACAUUAAACGUAUUACGAAUAAACUAGUCAGUAAACGCAUUUAGAAUUCACUCAUUUAGCGGUCCAAUGGAAGAGCUAUGCAAAAACCGUCAGUACCAGAGUACAUUUAUACGUUACGCUACACGCAGUUACCCAGUGCAAAGUACAAGGUAACAUCUAUCUACGCCUUCUCUGCUAGAGGUAGAAACAUGAAAUGACCUCAAACUUACCAACCUGCUUCGCUUCCGCACUUCAUGCCAGUCUCUCUUUUCUCUUUCGGCCAUCAAUCGUCUCUAAUGUCUAUUAGGUUUCCUCACAAUCACAUCGCUCAUUUUGCACCGUUAUGAAGACGCUCGAAACUGGCUAUAGAAUGUACGUAUAUAGGUGGUGAUGGUUGUAACUGAAACUUAAAUUGUUUAUAAUUGAUGUUUAAUGUAGAAUUAUGUAUAACUAUAAAUGACAUAAUAGUUAUUGGGUUUUAUUAUUGUGGUUUUUUUUUUUGUAUUUUUAUUGAAUGUUGCGAAUAUAUACAAAGGGAACUAAUAAUAACUAUUACAUGAUACAACUAAAUAAACAAAAUUAGUUAUAAGAAUUGUAACGUAUAUUAAUAUUAAUUUAAAUAAUAUAAUUUCAUAACCGAAACUCAGGUGCGCUGACGUUAAUUUAUUUGAAUUAACAAUUCACUCGUUUAAAUGUCAAUUUAAUUACAAAUCACACAUCAGGUCUGAAACCUUGUAACAUAUCCAUACAAUCGCAAUUUCAGUUGGUUACUACUCAAAAUCCCGGUUGAAAUCUCCGGGCUAGGUGUCUAACACGUAAUUGCUAAUCCAUAUGUUUACAGGAUUAUAGAGAUGUGAUCGGAUCGCUCUGAAAUUCGUAGUUCAAAAUUUUUGGAAGUCGUAAGCACGUGCAGUACAAAAUAUCCAUAACCAAAUUGGUAAUUUUGCUUUAGUUCUUUUUAUAUUAUUCGAAAUUGCCAAUCUCGACAAACUGAACUUGAAAUAGGUAGCACCUAUUUAUGAAAACAGUAUUUUUGUCCAUAAUAUUCUUUAACCUGUUAUUAAUGGGAAAAUAUGCCAGAUCCUGCAGCAAUCAAGUCCUUGCUAGUGAUAUUUACUGUGAUAUUGGAUGAAUUUGAAUACCUGAUUGAAAAUAUCGGAUGAUCAUUAUCUCCGCCCUCGUCAACCUCCUUUCUUUACAUUGACUUGCAAAAAAUGCUUAUAAAACGGAAACCAUACAGUCAAUCUCUUCAAUUUCAUUACAAAAAAAAAAAAUAUAUAUAUAUAUAUAUAUAUACUAUUAAUGUGUAACAGCAGGCUUGCAACUCUGUUCAGCAGUUUAGGUAUCGAAUUGAGGGACAUUUUUUUUUAUAAUUUCUGACACGAGUACCAAGGUAUACUAAAAUAAUAGUAUGUGCGACGUAAACUACAUCUUGGUACAAUUUGAUUACUCUAGCAGAAGCUAGAGAAAUAAUUCCUAAAAUGGCAGUGAAAUGCCUGAUCCCCAUUGCGUUUCAAAAUAUACAAUCUGAGCGAAACCUAAGCCAAGCAUUGAGUCCCGCGAUUAAAUAGUUUAAAAAAGUAAAUCUUACUCUCCGAAUCGCAACGAUGCAUUUAUUGCUAUCAAAAUAUCUUGAAACUGUACAAAUCUGCGCGCAAAUCGAGUUAUUAUAAAUAUAUGUAUUUAUUUAUAAUACAUGCUGCAGUGCAAUCGAGCAAUACAAGACACUUUGGUGGAAGACAACAAAAGCGAGUAAAAUGAUUCCGUGAAACUAAACGAAUUAUCUAGAAUUAGGGAAUACAAAAGUGAGCCAUGGACGAUUCAUAUUUUAUUUUCUUCUCUUGUCGCGUGUCUCUACCGCAUCGAUACUCAGAUUUACACGGAUAUGGAUAUAGAUCAAUAUUUCUGGAUAUUUUCUUAGGAUUUUUCGAAUGUAAGCGAUUGUGAGAACAUAUUCAAGUUACUUUCUCCGUAAUUACUUUCCGUAAUUACUCUCUCACGUGUGAAACAACUUGCAAACAUUUCAUUUCUCAAUUUCAGCCGAGUCUGAAAUUUUCCAGCGUUAUCUCACGUCAAAUACUAUAAUCUUACAGAUAGUUUCUGCAGUAACAAUUCGAAAAAUACCUCAUCCUUUUCAAGAGUUUAGGCUUCAAAAUUCAUUUGUACGUGUACGUAGCUCGGUACAAAAAAGAUACAAAAUAGAUCGCCUAUGGUUCACUCAAAGGCAUCAUAUUGGUUUCUUUCGCGUCAUUUACGAUAUAUCAAAACACAUUCAUGAUUUUUUUCAACUAUAAUAGAUCAGGAAUAAGAUUUCAAUAAUGCUACUAUUGAAAUAGUCAAUUACUAAUGAAAUUUACACGAAAUAAGGAUAAUUUAACCUUCAGGCAGAACAACAACGUCAUUGCUAUGAAUGUUUUAUAUUCGCCGGUACAGACAGGAUCGUUUCUACGAUACUGAUAAGGGUAUAUCACUUUUCCAAUUUCCAUUUGAUGCAAACUCUCACGAGAUUUUGGUAAAAACUUGACCUGCCAGUAUUGAUGAAAGAUCAUAAAUUUUGCAUUACCUAUGCAGAUACCGAAGCAAUUAUAUUUUGUGGGACGAAUACUGAUACCUCACAAAUGUCAGUCAUGUAUUAACGCUGUUAUUCUACCCAAGAGUUCAAUCGCACUUUAAAUGAUAUUAGAGAAUGGAUGUAUAGCUGAAUAACUUUUCAUUACUUGGAAUAAUAUGCCAAGAGUUCAAAGGUUUAUACAUAAUUCCACCCUUCCUUAAAUAGAUGCUACCAUCAAAUUUGGAUAAAACGCUUAAAAAGUGUCCUAUAUCACUCUUUACAACACCCAUUCAACGUCGUCAUAUCAUUUUCCUCAGUCAUUUUACAAUAGAUAUACCCUCUGCCACCAGAAAAAUAGAAUUCUUAAAACUUAAGCUUAGCUCGUACAUCUAUCAUACGAUCUAAGUAUGUAACACAGGGAAGAGUGCUCGGUACCAAGUGAAAUAUACAACAGAAUAAAAUUGUAACUAACUAACACCGAUGGGUAGUUACAGUUCACAAAGGUCUUUAAAUAAAAACUUCAUAUGCGUACGAACGUUCAAAGUAAUAAUCUUAGCACUUUGAAAUAACAUAAGAGACUUGUCAUUCAUAUUUGACAACUUUAUACAGAAUUCCAUCCGUAUGUAUUUACGGUGAAGUUUUGCCGAGCGAUUAGUGAAGAAUUAAAUUCGGUUGUUGACACUGGUAUCAAUUGCUCUCUUUCCCUAUAAUCUGAGACAUGAAUGUCCUUUAACAACAAUAACUGAUUAUCGAGCGUUUGAAAUAAUUAAUUUGAAUUCGAUAUAUAUAUACAUGUCCAUAUAUAUCAAAAAUAUCCUUAGUAAAAUAGAGAAUUUAUAUGUAUAAUGUACCUAUAUAAUUUGCAUUGUAUUACACUUUGUUACAUAAUAAUUAGUAGCUUUUACAUAGGUAAUUGCUGCAACAUUCUAGUGUAAUGAUUCUUCAAACCUCUUCUCAAUUUCUAAUUCACAAGAAACUAGGAUACAGAGUGUCGGAUAACAGAUAAAACUUGAAGAACUUGAUCUCACUCUAAACUAAUAUACCAUACACCAAGUUUCCGUCAUUUACAAGGGUUCGAUACUUUUCAUGAAUUUUCCAAGCUGGUUUGAAACAGUGCCAUUAAUAAUAUUGUUAAGACAUAUCAACAUUGUAAAGCAUAUAGGUACUUAAUUACUAAUGUUUCAAAUCAUCCAUAUACGGAUAUAGUAAACAUAUUUUGGCAUUUUGGUCAAACGAUUCGAACUUUACAUUUUACAUCGAAUAUAAUGUAGAUUAAAAAAUAUUACACAGCCAUUUGUUCAAUUUCACCACUACCAUAAAUAUUUAUUAUUGCAAAUGACUUUCAACAAUGUCUCAAGCACAAGUGUCUGUAGUAAAGAGAAGAAAAAAAACGAAGCAUGUCAUACCGAUGCGUGUACAAAUUAUUAGCAUUUCUCAUCAGCAUAGGAAAAUAAAAUGACUGUAACGUCUGCAAGAUGAUUUUACAUAUUAGAAACUUGUUAUAAAUAUAAUAAAUUAAAGUUCGUAUCUUGUGACACAAAGUAGUAUUGUUUGAUAAUAAUAUUUACAUCAUUAUGCAUCAACAAAGAAUGUGGGUAUGAAUUUUAUACCAUACUUCAAGUGUAUAAACGCACCUAAU